UGCAUGUCGGAGCUGUGCGG
rnacentral:misc_RNA from 1 species